rnacentral:rRNA from 1 species
AUUGAACGCUGGCGGCAGGCUUAACACAUGCAAGUCGAGCGGUAACAGAGAGAAGCUUGCUUCUCUGCUGACGAGCGGCGGACGGGUGAGUAAUGCCUAGGAAUCUGCCUAGUAGUGGGGGAUAAAUUGCCGAAAGGUAAGCUAAUACCGCAUACGUCCUACGGGAGAAAGGAGGGGACCUUCGGGCCUUUCGCUAUUAGAUGAGCCUAGGUCGGAUUAGUUAGUUGGUGAGGUAAUGGCUCACCAAGACCGCGAUCCGUAACUUGGCUGAGAGGAUGAUCAGUCACACUGGAACGGAGACACGGUCAGGACUCCUAGGGGAGGAAGCAGUGGGGAAUAUUGGACAAUGGGGGGAACCCUGAUCCAGCCAUGCCGCGUGUGUGAAGAAGGUCUUAGGAUUGUAAAGCACUUUAAGUUGGGAGGAAGAGCAGUUAACUAAUAUUUGACUGUUUUGACGUUACCGACAGAAUAAGCACCGGCUAACUUCGUGCCAGCAGCCGCCGUAA